rnacentral:lncRNA from 1 species
AAAGGAUGAAGAAAUCUGCCGCCGGAGAGAGCACCAACGAGACCUCAACGAAGACAUUUGAGAUCUCCAAUGAAGAAGCUCUGUUCCUGUAUGCUCUACGUUGUUUGGCGAUCUGUUUUCAGAUACUUUUGUCAUUGUUGUUGAGCUAGGCGCCACUACGAUGGCUGAUCUAUGCGCUACCACGGUGGGUGAUAUACGAGCUGCCAACCUAAGAGAUCCGACGCCACCAAGUUUGAUAGAGACUACAUGAAGGAAAAUU